GGGUUUUGUUGUAAAGAAAAAAGAGAAAGCCACUGCUAAGUUAAGUAUGGUGAUCUCGUAGACAGAUAGAUAUAUAUCUCAAAGUAGGAGUAAUUAUCAUCAUCAUUCCUUCUCCUUGAUCCCUAUCUAUCUAUAAACAUGCUGUUGUGUUCUUGCUCUCUCUCUCUCUCUCUCUUUCAUAAAUAACCUCACACCGCCACACCACACCUAUUAAAAAUUAAAAUUACUCGCAUCUUAAUUAAAUCCUUAAUGAUAUUCCCCCACCCCCUCUCUUUCUCUCUCACUUAUUGCCUGUGCUAUUGUGGCCGCGCCUCUCCUCUUAAAUAGUCUCCCCUACUGCCCCCUACUUCUCCACCUUCUCAUAAUAUCUAAUUCUUGAGAGCUUCUAUUUCAUCUAUGGUGGUGUGAAAUUAGAUUAGUAGUGCUUCAUUCAUGAAGGGUUUGGUUUAGGCAUUCAUGAAGGGUUUGCCAAAGGGUUUCUUACAGAGAUUAUUGGCAUUCUGUCCACCUCCUUUCAUGGGAGAUUCUUUACCAGAAUACGAUAAUCCCAGAAAAGAAAUACCUUAAUUUUUACGAAAUUAGGAGGUGGGCAUACUGCCAACUGAGCUCCGUUGGAUUCUCUUUGCAAAACCCUCGUGAAAUUUGCUUCGUCUUCCUCCCUUAAUUUCUCUCUCCCUCCCUCCACCUAGAUCGAGUGAAAGUAUGGUUGAUUUCGAAGACCGGGAACCCUAGCUAUGUCAAGAAAGAUCUUUAAAAUUCCUAAUACUUUUUUUAAACAGUCUAUCUCUCUCUCAAAUAACAGCGGCGGCUGGCUUUAUUCGGUAGGAUUCAGAAGCGAUGGAAUUUCAUGGUAACAUCUUUAUAUCAAAUCAAAGAGUGAAAAAGGGCUUAAAAUUGGGGAUUUUCUCCUUUGCAAUUUCAUGCCCUUUUGAGUGUAGAGUGUGCAAACAGAGAGAGAGAGAGAGACCACCUAAGUUCAAAUUUGUUUUGCUUCCUUGCUUUUUUGAAAGUAAACAGUAAACACCUCUCUACAAAAACUUUCCACAAAUCUCAAAAAGAAAGUUCAAAUUUGUUUUGCUUCCUUCUUUUUUGCAAGUAACACCACUUUCCAAAAAGUUUCCAUAUAUCUCUUAAAAGAAGAAAGAUAGAAGUGCAUCUACAAAGAUGAGUUAUCCAUUUAUGUUUCGGGCCUAGCAUUCAAAAUAAUUAGAUCGGGUAUAUAUAUUUGUUGUGCAUUCCAUGGAGAUUUCUGUUUAUGCAAUUAUUUUCCCAGAAAAUGAAAAGAGAAAAAAAAGGCUAGCACGAGAUGUGAUGGUGGUGGUGGUAGUAGUGGUAGUGGCAGGAAUAUAAUUAGGGGUUGCAGAGCUCAUCGUAUAUACAUACGUAGACUCAUGAUUGAGUUUCUGACACACUCCAUUAAAUUAUGGGGAAGACAUUAGGUAUAGUAGCAGCUGCUCCCCAUUUAUAUUCUUUUCUUUUCGCAACCUUCUAAAUUUAUUUCCUGACAUCUAAAUCAUCUCAAACUUUAAUUUCAAUUAAUGCAACUCCUAAUUUUAUUUA